UACGAAGGGGGCUAGCGUUGCUCGGAAUCACUGGGCGUAAAGCGCACGUAGGCGGAUUGUUAAGUCAGGGGUGAAAUCCUGGAGCUCAACUCCAGAACUGCCUUUGAUACUGGCGAUCUCGAGUCCGGGAGAGGUGAGUGGAACUGCGAGUGUAGAGGGUGAAAAUUCGUAGAUAUUCGCAAAGAACACCAGUGGCGAAGGCGGCUCACUGGCCCGGUACUGACGCUGAGGUGCGAAAGCGUGGGGAGCAAACAGGG
rnacentral:rRNA from 1 species